rnacentral:piRNA from 1 species
UAGCAAACCUAGAUGACGGAUUGAUA